rfam:Nicotiana attenuata strain TT chromosome 11, whole genome shotgun sequence.
GUGUCCGUAGAAAGAAGAGGUGGUUGCAUUUCCCCUGACAGGCAUGGGAAUGGCUUUUGGGCCUUCCUUUGUUAUCAAACAAAUUCCAGGACUUCAGUUUUCU